rnacentral:lncRNA from 1 species
AUGGAUUCCCAGGAGUUUGAGGUUGAAACUAUUGUUGACAAAAGACAAGGAAAAAAUGUGAAUAUAGAGUAUUUGGUUAAGUGGAAAGCUUAUGACAAGCAGUAUGACACUUGGGAACCAAAGCAGCACCUCAUGAACUGUGAAAAAUGUAUGAUUUUAACAGACGACAGACUGAAAAACAGAAAAAAAAAUACAUGGACCAGAGCAAGUAGAACUUUUUCAAACCAUACUAGAGGAACUUCCAGAUCUACCAACCCCAAGUUUUCUAAGAACUCUCCUAACAUGCUAGUGACUGGCAAACACCACAAAUCCAAAAACAGCCAGUUAUUUGCUGCCAGCAAGAAUGUUAGGAGAAAGGCAGCUUCACUUCUCUUUGACACAAGAAUAUGGAGCCAGUAAACUCAACUAUGAAGACAUUUGCACCUCACAGUCCCUUUAACAAGAAAACUGUGAGUGGCUUUCAGGAGCUUGAGAAACUGGACCCCUUUAUGGUAGAUCUGCAGGACACAGUGGUCUUCAAGGGGAUAGAAGGGAAGCCCAUCAGGACUUUAUCAGGUUCUGGUGCAGAACAGGUUGGAAUAGAGAACAGGACCCAGAUACACCUGCUAAUGUCUCAGAUGUCUGGCUCACUUACUGCUUCCUUGGCCACAGGCUCAGCUACCAAAAAAAGGUAUAGUGACAUUAACAGACCCAUUAGCAGCCAAUAGAACAACAGACAUGCAUACAUCAGUUCCAAGAGGGAAAUGAGGGCAAAUAAAUGUCACUGAUGAUGGCAGAGACCAGCCUUUUAUCAAGAAGAUGUACUUCACUAUAAGGCUAACAGAAAAUUCCAGCACAUACAGACACAUUCUCGUGAAGAAAGAGGAUGGAUUCACCCAAAUAUCGCUAUCAACUCAAUCGACAGAAAAAUAUGCAGUGAAUACAGAAGUACUUAAAGAAAUGGUUAAUGCUCUGAAUAGGGAUGUUGUGGAUGACAGCAAGCUUGUGCUGUUCUGUGCAGCUGGAAAUGUCUUUUGCUAUGGUCUUGAUUUUGGGUACUUUGUGAAGCACUUAAGGAAUGACAGAGAGCAAGCCUUGAGAUUGUGGACACCAUCAAGAACUUUGUGAAUACUUUUAUUCAAUUUAAAAAGCCUAUUGUUGUAUCAGUCAAUGGCCCUGUCACUGGACUAGGUGAAUCCAUACUGCCUCUUCGUGAUCUCGUGUGGGCUAAUGAAAAGUCUUGGUUCCAAACCUCUUAUGCAGCUUUUGGACACAGUCCAGAUGGCUGUUCUACUGUUACAUUUUCAAAAAUGAUGGGUGAAGCAUCUGCCAAUGAAAUAUUAAUGCUGGGCAAAAGCUGACAGCAUGGGAGGCAUGUGCCAAACGCCUGGUCUCUCAAGCGUUUUUGACUGCAACUUUCACCCAAGGGGUUGUGAUUCAAAUUAAGGAGCUUGCCUCAUGUAAUCAAGAUGCACUGGAAGAAUGUAUGGCUCUUGUUCACUGUAAUAUUAAGAUGGAGUUGGAGGUGCUGAGGAAGAUAUGGGGUCAGCACAAGGGAUAGAAUCCAUGUUGAAG